AUUUAUAGCCAUGGAGCAGGCUGGCAGUCGGGAUGGAGGAAAUUACUAAGAGAAAGCAGCAGGGGGAAGGAAAGCUUCUGGUUAAACAGGCUUAGGAUUCUUGCUGAAGGCAGGCCAGGGUGGUCAGAUGCGAAGGAUGGGGGCCUCUCUCCACACUGACUUAGGAGGGACUUGCUAAAACUGGCUGAUGCAGGCCCAACGAUGACAGGCACAGAAGCCCAGGGUUGAGGCCCCGUUGAAAGAGAGCUUCGAGGAGCCUGACUUAAGUGCGGCCUCAGAGCGAGUCUUUGUCCUGGGAAGCGGGACCUUUUGCUGGCAAGCCAAGCGCCUGCCCUAGCUUGACCAGGGUGCGGAGCCCGCCCUCCCCUGCUGCUGUGCCUUGAGAAUCAGGCAGAUCCAGAACAGGACCAGGCCAGAAAAUCCUGCGGCUGUGGGACGUGGGCAGGAUGAGGCCUUGCUGUGAAUGUCCCUGAGAAAAAUGUGCCUCCCUCCCUUUCUAAAAAGGUUUCCUGCCGUGAAAAUGACACCCAGGAAAAUAGAACAGGAGAAGACCAGUCUCGGGAACCACACCUCCGGGAGCUCCUCUCAGCCCCUAGCCAGCGGCCCCUCUAGGCCCACAGUCCCUCCUGGACUGGAGCUGGGGUCGUUGUUCUCUCAAGGAAGCAGUGAGGAGUGUGGACAGGCCCAGGGAAGAAAUGCCUGACUCUGUGCUUCGUGGGGAAGGCGGGGAAGACAGCAGGGAUUGGAGCUGAGAACCAGAGGCCAGAGGACGCCCUGAGACAGGACUUCCUGAAAGAAGCCCUGGGACCCCCACUGCCAAGGGUCCAGCUCUUCAGAGAGGAACUGAAUUGUAAUGGUCAUUGUCAUUGUGAAAGUCAUCAUCUUUGAACUGCAGGUGUCUUUUAAGGUCAGACUUUUUGAUCAAGAUCUAACACAAAAACCUCUUAAUAUUAAGCAGGAAAAUGCAUAUCUGCUCCCAUCAAGUCCUUUUUCCUGAAUCGCUCACUGUCAGAGCACACCCUGAAACCGUCUUGGCACCACCAUAGAAACUGAGAGCCCUAAUGAAGACUGUAUGAAAAUCCUGGUAAGUUAGAACCAAUGCUCCGCCCCUGGACUAGGCGGAUCACAUGAAUGUGGCUUGAAGCCUAGAUUUGCUGCUAACAAGGACUGUGACUUUGGAUAUUGAAGUCGCUUUGCUUCUGUGGUCCUUGGAGCUGUGCAGCAUCACCAGGCUCCACAUCUGUUCUAUUUCUACAGUCAUCCUCACUCACAUCCUCAAAGCCAACUCUGAACUUGGGCCCAGAGCAUCUGCGCUUUUACUUUAUUCCUGAGAACAAGAUCACCCCUGCCCCAACCCCAAAACACCCUCAUGAUAUUUCUCCAUGCCUGAGCCUUUUCUUGCUGAUCUGAAUAGAAGCCCUGGCUCUCUAGGACAGAGCCUGCCUUGUCCUGCAAUGUCCCCUCCCCGGACCUGAAACCCAGCCGACCCCGAGAUACAUGGAGGUGGCUGCCAGCAGAGUCCACAAUAGUGCUGGUCUCCCUGUCUGCUUAGGCCUCUUAACACACAAUCCUGGGCUCACUGUUGCCAGGGUUGGCCCAGCUGAUGGGUGAUAGUCCCCAUUAUUUGGUCUUGCUCCUCACCCCCAUUCUGCCCAGAAUCCCAGUCAUCUUUUGAAGCAUCCCUGCUGGAUUUUUCAUUUCUGCUCAAAAAGACUCCCUGUACCUGCAUGGGGGCUCACCACCUGCCCCCCACACCUGCCCCAUUCCAUUUGUCAGAACCCUCAGGGCCAUGGGUUGGGCUUUGCCUAGCUGUGUUCCAAGACCCAAAACCCUCCAUAGGGCAUGCAGUGGCUGUCAUUGUGUUUCUGUUACA
rnacentral:lncRNA from 10 species